rnacentral:lncRNA from 1 species
CACCUGCUCUGCCAGCUGUAAAUAUCGGCUCGAGUUCUCUAUCUUGGCGGGAAAAAAUAUCAGGGCUGUGAGCGAUAAGGUUAGACUUGGAAACCAUUUUUGCGUGUUCCACCAGUAGGUCAAUGAUGGAGACUGGUGAGCGACCCGUAGAGUCCGUUGAUCUUGAAGAAACUGCUUCGAAAAUGCCUGUUGAGAUAAGUUUGAUGGCAAGCGGGGCCACCAAUAGUUAACUACUGGAGCUAUAAGAGUCGUUCCUGCUAGCCUGAAGAAUAAAGGCACCGUUGUUGACUAGUGGUGCCGGAACUCCACCGGCGCCGGAGUAUGACUCCAUUGUUGACGGGAUUGGUGGUUCAAUUGGGGGUUUUGAAAAAGACUAACCGGCGUCCAUUGACGGAGGUAGUGUUAUAG